UAUGAAAGAAAAAACGUAAAAAGAAAGAAAAUAAAAUAAAAUGGGAAAAGAAAUAAAUAUUACAAUGAUAACAAUAUUUUUUGUCAUCAUAAUCAUCAUUAUUAUCGUAAAAAAUGUAGUUUUACGUGCUAGAUUUAAGAUACUUCAAAGAGAAAUAUCGCCAAGUCGUAAUGCCAUAGUCUCAUCUGCAUUACGAAAGAACGGACGAUUUUAGGCUGGCAAACGCAUGUGUCUCGCGAGACAUCGAGAUCUAUUUAAAAUUUGAAAGCUAAACGAUUAGCCAGUUUCAAGGGUAAUGUCGACCUCAAAUCACUUUGACGAUUGUACGCAUUGCGAAUCGCACGCAUCACGCGAAUCGCACGCAUCCAAGGUGCCAGGACAAAGAACAUUUACGUGCAAAAGAAUGAUUUAACAAAUUGGAAAUAUCUUUUCGUAUUUUUUCCGAGAUAAAAUGAUAUCAAUGAUAGACGUUGGAUUACUAUGAAUUUUGAGUUUAAAUUUCUACGAAAUGAAAAAGAAAAAAAAUGAUGAUGAUAAUAAUAAUAAGAAGAAGAAAAAAGAAAAAUAGAUGACAUUAAAAUUAAACAUGAUAUUAAAAUUAAAAUUAAACGAACAGGAAUAUUGAUUAAGAGAUAAGAUGAAUUUGAAAGUAAAGGCAAUGUUUUGAAAUUUGAAUAAGAUAUAGGAACUAAUAGUAAAAUGAAAGAAUAAUAUUGUCAAAAAUUUUUCCAGCGGUCGAUAAAAUUUCUUUCUAUCCGAAUAUCGCAAUCUCGUGAUUUCGUUCGAUAAGCAA